rnacentral:rRNA from 1 species
AUUGAACGCUGGCGGCAGGCCUAACACAUGCAAGUCGAGCGGCAGCGGGAAAGUAGCUUGCUACUUUCGUCGGCGAGCGGCGGACGGGUGAGUAAUGCCUGGGAAAUUGCCCAGUCGAGGGGGAUAACAGUUGGAAACGACUGCUAAUACCGCAUGCGCCCUACGGGGGAAAGCAGGGGACCUCCGGGCCUUGCGCGAUUGGAUAUGCCCAGGUGGGAUUAGCUAGUUGGUGAGGUAAUGGCUCACCAAGGCGACGAUCCCUAGCUGGUCUGAGAGGAUGAUCAGCCACACUGGAACUGAGACACGGUCCAGACUCCUACGGGAGGCAGCAGUGGGGAAUAUUGCACAAUGGGGGAAACCCUGAUGCAGCCAUGCCGCGUGUGUGAAGAAGGCCUUCGGGUUGUAAAGCACUUUCAGCGAGGAGGAAAGGUUGAUGCCUAAUACGUAUCAACUGUGACGUUACUCGCAGAAGAAGCACCGGCUAACUCCGUGCCAGCCGCCGCCGUAAUAC